GCCUAAUACAUGCAAGUCGAACGAACUCUGGUAUUGAUUGGUGCUUGCAUCAUGAUUUACAUUUGAGUGAGUGGCGAACUGGUGAGUAACACGUGGGAAACCUGCCCAGAAGCGGGGGAUAACACCUGGAAACAGAUGCUAAUACCGCAUAACAACUUGGACCGCAUGGUCCGAGUUUGAAAGAUGGCUUCGGCUAUCACUUUUGGAUGGUCCCGCGGCGUAUUAGCUAGAUGGUGAGGUAACGGCUCACCAUGGCAAUGAUACGUAGCCGACCUGAGAGGGUAAUCGGCCACAUUGGGACUGAGACACGGCCCAAACUCCUACGGGAGGCAGCAGUAGGGAAUCUUCCACAAUGGACGAAAGUCUGAUGGAGCAACGCCGCGUGAGUGAAGAAGGGUUUCGGCUCGUAAAACUCUGUUGUUAAAGAAGAACAUAUCUGAGAGUAACUGUUCAGGUAUUGACGGUAUUUAACCAGAAAGCCACGGCUAACUACGUGCCAGCAGCCGCGGUAAUACGUAGGUGGCAAGCGUUGUCCGGAUUUAUUGGGCGUAAAGCGAGCGCAGGCGGUUUUUUAAGUCUGAUGUGAAAGCCUUCGGCUCAACCGAAGAAGUGCAUCGGAAACUGGGAAACUUGAGUGCAGAAGAGGACAGUGGAACUCCAUGUGUAGCGGUGAAAUGCGUAGAUAUAUGGAAGAACACCAGUGGCGAAGGCGGCUGUCUGGUCUGUAACUGACGCUGAGGCUCGAAAGUAUGGGUAGCAAACAGGAUUAGAUACCCUGGUAGUCCAUACCGUAAACGAUGAAUGCUAAGUGUUGGAGGGUUUCCGCCCUUCAGUGCUGCAGCUAACGCAUUAAGCAUUCCGCCUGGGGAGUACGGCCGCAAGGCUGAAACUCAAAGGAAUUGACGGGGGCCCGCACAAGCGGUGGAGCAUGUGGUUUAAUUCGAAGCUACGCGAAGAACCUUACCAGGUCUUGACAUACUAUGCAAAUCUAAGAGAUUAGACGUUCCCUUCGGGGACAUGGAUACAGGUGGUGCAUGGUUGUCGUCAGCUCGUGUCGUGAGAUGUUGGGUUAAGUCCCGCAACGAGCGCAACCCUUAUUAUCAGUUGCCAGCAUUAAGUUGGGCACUCUGGUGAGACUGCCGGUGACAAACCGGAGGAAGGUGGGGAUGACGUCAAAUCAUCAUGCCCCUUAUGACCUGGGCUACACACGUGCUACAAUGGAUGGUACAACGAGUUGCGAACUCGCGAGAGUAAGCUAAUCUCUUAAAGCCAUUCUCAGUUCGGAUUGUAGGCUGCAACUCGCCUACAUGAAGUCGGAAUCGCUAGUAAUCGCGGAUCAGCAUGCCGCGGUGAAUACGUUCCCGGGCCUUGUACACACCGCCCGUCACACCAUGAGAGUUUGUAACACCCAAAGUCGGUGGGGUAACCUUUUAGGAACCAGCCGCCUAAGGUG
rnacentral:rRNA from 2 species